rnacentral:rRNA from 1 species
UUGCCUAGUAGCGGCGAGUGAAGCGGCAAAGCUCAAAUUUGAAAUCUGGCUCUUUCAGAGUCCGAGUUGUAAUUUGAAGAAGGUAUCUUUGGGUCUGGCUCUUGUCUAUGUUUCUUGGAACAGAACGUCACAGAGGGUGAGAAUCCCGUGCGAUGAGAUGAUCCAGGCCUAUGUAAAGUUCCUUCGAAGAGUCGAGUUGUUUGGGAAUGCAGCUCUAAGUGGGUGGUAAAUUCCAUCUAAAGCUAAAUAUUGGCGAGAGACCGAUAGCGAACAAGUACAGUGAUGGAAAGAUGAAAAGAACUUUGAAAAGAGAGUGAAAAAGUACGUGAAAUUGUUGAAAGGGAAGGGCUUGAGAUCAGACUUGGUAUUUUGUAUGUUACUUCUUCGGGGGUGGCCUCUACAGUUUAUCGGGCCAGCAUCAGUUUGGGCGGUAGGAGAAUUGCGUUGGAAUGUGGCACGGCUUCGGUUGUGUGUUAUAGCCUUCGUCGAUACUGCCAGCCUAGACUGAGGACUGCGGUUUAUACCUAGGAUGUUGGCAUAGUGAUCUUAAGUCGCCCGUCUUGAAACACGGACC